GAAUAUUGGUCAAUGGACGCAAGUCUGAACCAGCCAUGCCGCGUGAAGGAUGAAGGCCUUCUGGGUUGUAAACUUCUUUUAUCUGGGAAGAAACCUCCGAUUUCUAUUGGAGCCGACGGUACCAGAUGAAUAAGCACCGGCUAACUCCGUGCCAGCAGCCGCGGUAAUACGGAGGGUGCAAGCGUUAUCCGGAUUCACUGGGUUUAAAGGGUGUGUAGGCGGGCUAUUAAGUCAGUGGUGAAAUCUCUGAGCUCAACUCAGAAACUGCCGUUGAUACUAUUAGUCUUGAAUAUCGAUGAGGUAGGCGGAAUAUGUCAUGUAGCGGUGAAAUGCUUAGAUAUGACAUAGAACACCGAUUGCGAAGGCAGCUUACUAAACGAUUAUUGACGCUGAGGCACGAAAGCGUGGGGAUCAAACAG
rnacentral:rRNA from 1 species